AGAGUUUGAUCCUGGCUCAGAUUGAACGCUGGCGGCGUGCCUAACACAUGCAAGUCGAGCGGUAACAGGUGUAGCAAUACAUGCUGACGAGCGGCGAACGGGUGAGUAAUGCUUCGGAAUCUACCCUAUAGUGGGGAAUAACUAGCCGAAAGGUUAGCUAAUACCGCAUAAGUCCUACGGGAGAAAGCAGGGGAUCGCAAGACCUUGCGCUGAUGGAUGAGCCGAAGUCGGAUUAGCUAGUUGGUGGGGUAACGGCUCACCAAGGCGACGAUCCGUAGCUGGUCUGAGAGGACGACCAGCCACACUGGAACUGAGACACGGUCCAGACUCCUACGGGAGGCAGCAGUGGGGAAUAUUGGACAAUGGGGGAAACCCUGAUCCAGCGACGCCGCGUGUGUGAAGAAGGCCUGCGGGUUGUAAAGCACUUUUAGUGGGGAUGAAAUGUGCAGGGUUAAUACCUCUGCAUUUUGACCUAACCCACAGAAAAAGCACCGGCUAACUCUGUGCCAGCAGCCGCGGUAAUACAGAGGGUGCAAGCGUUAAUCGGAAUUACUGGGCGUAAAGCGUGCGCAGAUGGUUGCGUAAGUCAGAUGUGAAAGCCCCGGGCUCAACCUGGGAAUUGCAUUUGAGACUGCGUAGCUAGGGUGCGGAAGAGGGAAGCGGAAUUUCCGGUGUAGCGGUGAAAUGCGUAGAUAUCGGAAGGAACACCAGUGGCGAAAGCGGCUUCCUGGUCCAGCACCGACAUUCAGGCACGAAAGCGUGGGGAGCAAACAGGAUUAGAUACCCUAGUAGUCC
rnacentral:rRNA from 1 species